rnacentral:ncRNA from 1 species
CUUUGAUCGACAUACGGAUCAAGGCGGAAGGAG